rnacentral:rRNA from 1 species
UACGUAGGGCGCAAGCGUUGUCCGGAAUUAUUGGGCGUAAAGAGCUCGUAGGCGGCUUGUCACGUCGGGUGUGAAAGCCCGGGGCUUAACCCCGGGUCUGCAUUCGAUACGGGCAGGCUAGAGUGUGGUAGGGGAGAUCGGAAUUCCUGGUGUAGCGGUGAAAUGCGCAGAUAUCAGGAGGAACACCGGUGGCGAAGGCGGAUCUCUGGGCAUGUUCUGACGCUGAGGAGCGAAAGUGUGGGGAGCGAACAGG